rnacentral:lncRNA from 1 species
CCCCUCUCUAAAAUCUUCCUGGAACAACAGAGCAGUACAAAAGAGAAGCAGCUGAGAGGGAAAAGGAUUCUCUUGAGCAAAAGAUUAAAGAACUGCUACAAAUGUUAGAGAACCAAGAAAGAGCCUUCAAGAUAUUUAGAGUCAAAAUCACAGGCGAGAUGAGAGAAAGAGACAACGUUCUGAGAAGGAUGAACAAGAGGAUUGAGAUACUGGAGAUCGUAAGAAAGAAAAUGGAAGAACAAGAGGAAUAUUACAGGAAGAAAGAGGAGCAGAUCAAAAGAGAGACAAGUGAGAGGGAAGAAGACCCUUCUGAGCGAAAGGUUAAACAGCUGCAGCGAAUGUUGGAGAGCCAAAAGAGAGGUUUGGAGAGACUAAGAGCCAGAAUGAGAAAGGAGAUAGGAGAAAGAGAGAAGACCUCAGCAGGUGCGGGGGAGAGUUCUGCUCGCGGUGGGGAGGGGAGGUUCUUGCAGUGCCCUGUGAGACU